rnacentral:sRNA from 1 species
AUAAUAAUAAUAAUAAUAAUAAUAAUAAUAAUAAUAAUAAUAAUAAAGUGGGGCAAAAUUUUGUGGGGUCAUUUGACCCCACAUGACCCCAUGUGGAUCACAUAAUAAUAAUAAUAAAGUGGGGCAAAAUUUUGUGGGGUCAUUUGACCCCACAUGACCCCAUGUGGAUCCGUCCUUGGGUGCAUGAGCU